CAACUUCGCGAGGGCGUUUUACACGGUGUGCUUCAUGACUGGGGUAAAGUCGUAACCAGGUAGCCGUAGGGGUAACCUGUGGCUGGAUCACCUCCUG
rnacentral:rRNA from 1 species